UGUCGUCAGCUCGUGUUGUGAAAUGUUGGGUUAAGUCCCGCAACGAGCGCAACCCUUAUCCUUUGUUGCCAGCGGUUAGGCCGGGAACUCAAAGGAGACUGCCAGUGAUAAACUGGAGGAAGGUGGGGAUGACGUCAAGUCAUCAUGGCCCUUACGACCAGGGCUACACACGUGCUACAAUGGCAUAUACAAAGAGAAGCGACCUCGCGAGAGCAAGCGGACCUCAUAAAGUAUGUCGUAGUCCGGAUUGGAGUCUGCAACUCGACUCCAUGAAGUCGGAAUCGCUAGUAAUCGUGGAUCAGAAUGCCACGGUGAAUACGUUCCCGGGCCUUGUACACACCGCCCGUCACACCAUGGGAGUGGGUUGCAAAAGAAGUAGGUAGCUUAACCUUCGGGAGGGCGCUUACCACUUUGUGAUUCAUGACUGGGGUGAAGUCGUAACAAGGUAACCGUAGGGGAACCUGCGGUUGGAUCACCUCCUU
rnacentral:rRNA from 1 species